GUAGGGAAUCUUCCGCAAUGGACGAAAGUCUGACGGAGCAACGCCGCGUGAGUGAUGAAGGUUUUCGGAUCGUAAAGCUCUGUUGUUAGGGAAGAACAAGUACCGUUCGAAUAGGGCGGUACCUUGACGGUACCUAACCAGAAAGCCACGGCUAACUACGUGCCAGCAGCCGCGGUAAUACGUAGGUGGCAAGCGUUGUCCGGAAUUAUUGGGCGUAAAGGGCUCGCAGGCGGUUCCUUAAGUCUGAUGUGAAAGCCCCCGGCUCAACCGGGGAGGGUCAUUGGAAACUGGGGAACUUGAGUGCAGAAGAGGAGAGUGGAAUUCCACGUGUAGCGGUGAAAUGCGUAGAGAUGUGGAGGAACACCAGUGGCGAAGGCGACUCUCUGGUCUGUAACUGACGCUGAGGAGCGAAAGCGUGGGGAGCGAACAGGAUUAGAUACCCCAGUAGUCC
rnacentral:rRNA from 1 species